AUGGCAUCGGAGCCGGCCGUGCUACCCGACGACGCCCUCGCGGAGGUCCUCCGGCGCCUCGCGCCACACGUCCUGGCCGCGGCCCGGCGGGUCUGCAAGGCGUGGCGUGACGCCGUCGACGCCCGCCUGCGCGGCAGCCUGCUCUCGCGGUCGGUGCGCGGCAUCUUCAUCAACUUCACCCGGCAUUGCUUCUCCGAGUUCUUCUCCCGCCCCUCGACGGGCCCGGCGAUCUGCGGGGGGCUCAACUUCCUGCCCUGCAUGGGCGUCCAGGUCACGGACCAUUGCAACGGGCUCCUGCUCUGCGGCGAACGGAUGAACGAGGACCGUGCGCUGCCGCGUGAGUACGUCGUCAACCCGGCCACGCGUCGGUGGGCGCGUCUGACCCAUCGCCCUCGGCCGCACGUGCCGGGAUUCGACCAGACCGCCUACCUCGCGUUCGAUCCCGCCGUGUCACCACACUACCAGGUCUUUCUGAUCCCACGCUUGCCACCGGCCGGCGAAUCGGAUGACGACGAAUCGGACGACGACGAGUGGCCUCCCGCGUCAUACGUGAUGCAUGUGUUCUCUUCGGUGACACAACAGUGGGGCGAGACGACCUUCCUUCGGGAAGGGGAGGCUGCACGGAUCGUCGGCAACAUGGAUUCGGAUUUGUGGUAUAAACAGCAUCGUUAUCAUGCCGUCUACUGGCAAAGCACGCUCUACAUUCAUUGCCGGCAUGGCUAUCUUACAAGGAUGUCCUUGUCAGAUCUCACUUUCACAGUGAUUAAGCUACCAGGUGCCUGUGAAUUGAGAGGCUAUCCCAACCACCAUCUGGUGCGAUACUUAAUGGCUGGAAUCAACUUCAGCUUUGGUAUCUCAAUGAAUCCAUCGGAUGUUAACUACCGCAAGUGGUCCUCCAAAUACCCUGAGGACGCUGCUUUCACAACACAUGCAAAUUACAAAGCGCCGGUGGAAGAGAAAUAUGAUUGGAACUCCGACGAGGAUAACAUUCUUGACAUUGAAGAUGAUGUUCAAGGGGGAUACCGUGACAACUAUUAUUUCCUUGGGUUUCAUCCUUAUAAAGAGGUUGUCUUCUUGAUUUUAUCAGGGAGAUCAGCCAGGGGAUUGGCCUAUGACUGGAACAACUCAAAAUUCCAGGAUUUGGGCACUUCAUGUCUGACAGAUUAUGACCCCUUCAACGAACUACCAUGCGGACAGACUGACUCAUCUUUCUCAUACACGCCUUGUUGGAUGGGCGAGUUUGCUGGUAACGAAUUAGAAUCUCUACUUGAAGAUGAGAAACUAUAUAGAAAAAAGUUGGAACAGAAAUCUCAACGUAAAGAGAAAGCCACCUUUACCUUCAUGGACGAGUACGAUUUGCGCAAGCAUCGUGGGCACACCAAGAGAGUCAAGGACUCUAACGCCAAGAAUCGCCGUAGACGCCACAUGGCGGCUUGGUAA
rnacentral:rRNA from 1 species